CCAGACUCCUACGGGAGGCAGCAGUGGGGAAUAUUGCACAAUGGGGGGAACCCUGAUGCAGCGACGCCGCGUGAGUGAAGAAGUAUUUCGGCAUGUAAAGCUCUAUCAGCAGGGAAGAAAAUGACGGUACCUGACUAAGAAGCCCCGGCUAACUACGUGCCAGCAGCCGCGGUAAUACGUAGGGGGCAAGCGUUAUCCGGAUUUACUGGGUGUAAAGGGAGCGUAGACGGCAGCUCAAGUCUGAAGUGAAAUCCCAUGGCUUAACCAAGGAACUGCUUUGGAAACUGUGCGGCUUGAGUGCAGGAGAGGUAAGCGGAAUUCCUAGUGUAGCGGUGAAAUGCGUAGAUAUUAGGAGGAACACCAGUGGCGAAGGCGGCUUACUGGACUGUAACUGACGUUGAGGCUCGAAAGCGUGGGGAGCAAACAGGAUUAGAUACCCCUGUA
rnacentral:rRNA from 1 species